UACGUAGGGUGCAAGCGUUGUCCGGAAUUAUUGGGCGUAAAGAGCUUGUAGGCGGUUUGUCGCGUCUGCUGUGAAAUUUCGGGGCUCAACCCCGAACUUGCAGUGGGUACGGGCAGACUAGAGUGUGGUAGGGGAGACUGGAAUUCCUAGUGUAGCGGUGAAAUGCGCAGAUAUCAGGAGGAACACCGAUGGCGAAGGCAGGUCUCUGGGCCAUAACUGACGCUGAGAAGCGAAAGCAUGGGGAGCGAACAGG
rnacentral:rRNA from 1 species